CUACAAGAUGUAAAAAGAUGCAACGUCUGCAGGUUACAGUGCUUGUUGCAUCCCUAUAAUAAUGGAUAGAGCACUGAUGUGUACCCUGGCGAUAACAUGAAAUGCCAGCUAUUCAAAAAAGGAAUACAUAAAACUUUAAAAGUUGCCGGUAUAGACGAAAACUUCGCGGAUGAACUUAGACAUUAAAAUAUCUACAUUGUAAUGUAAUGUAGGUCAUCGUGUGUGUAUGUAAUGUAGCAAGGGUUUUUGACCUACAUGUACUACUACACUUAGACCAAGUCGCUGCGGAUAAAAGAGUCUGCAAAGUUAUAAAAUUUAUAGAAAAAUACGAAUUUAUUCGAUUCCUUCUACAGCGCAUGCGCGUAAAAUCAACUACAACUGAAACUACCGGAGCAGCAGAACAUGCAUUUCAUAAUUUUAUCAAAAGCAACAGCAAACUACCUCAAUAAACACUAGAAACGUGCGUCCGCUCGACAAUCACAUGCAUUCAUUUUGCAACCGCUCUGAAGCUUGCACAUUAUAAAAGAAUCCGUACAUAAGCAGUAACAUGCAGCGCGCUGAAAUACAGCUCUAACGCAUUCUCAGAAGAAUACAGAAUAGAGAAUGCAAAAUGAUAAUCAUACAACACAAACAACCAUCCUCAACACAACAUGUUCAUAAUUUUAUCAAAAGCAACAGCAAACUACCUCAAUAAACACUAGAAACGUGCGUCCGCUCGACAAUCGCGGACAAAAAAAAGAACUGCGCUCCAAACAGCUCAGCGAUGACGCAGGUACAAAUAAACGUAUAAAACACAUAUAAUAACAGCAUUAAUAUUUCUGGGGAACUAACUUUAUACAAAACAACACUGUGAAUAAAUAAAUACGUCGUGUUUUUUUCCUGAUAAACCUAUAAUCACACGCAGCGUCUCCUUCCUCAAACUUUUUAAACACUUUAUUAAUAAACUUUACAAACAUUUCAUCUUAAGUUGACUACACGCGCACACAGCCACUUUUGUAUCUUCGAGUCAAUGUAUUUAGACAAUAUAUUUACUCAACUAGCUGUAAAGUUACAAGUUUACCAACAACCAACAACUAGCGAAACCGUCAAAAGCCUAAUUAUAGGCUAACCUCGUGGUCAUGCUAAUUACACAG
rnacentral:lncRNA from 1 species